rnacentral:lncRNA from 1 species
GGCAAAUCAACAGAACAAAACAGUUCCAAACCAAGCUUGUCAAGAAUUUUAAAUGUUUCGUACGCAUGCUCCUAACACUAUCCCAAGGCUGAGCAGAAAGUGUGUGAUCCUCUUCUUACCACUGGAUCCCUAGCAAGCCGCACAUUAUAGGCUGAACGGGAAGUACGUGAACAUUCAUAAGAAAAAAUANNNNNNNNNNNNNNNNNNNNGUAUUAAUAGUAAAUCAUAAAGAAACAAAUCCAGAACAAUAAGAAUCGGCAGAUAAAAAAUGAAAUGAAAAUAAUUUGCAUUCCAAGUAGAGGUUCCAAAAUAAACCUGAGGCUUGAUACUGCUCAAAUGUUAUUGUUUCAAAACACACCGCACUACAGAAAACAAUGUCAUUUUUCAAUUAACAUGUAUCAAACCUCACAAUCAAAAGACCAGAAAAAAAGAACCAGAAUACAAAGUCAGAAGAUCAAACAAGAGAAAGAAAAUUAUAACACCAGAUGAACUAAUAUCAAGAAAACAUGCUUCAAAAUGAAAUAUGCNNNNNNNNCAUUCUAAUCUCAAAAAUAAAAAUAAUAGAGAAUGACUCAUCAAAGAAAUUUGAUCUAUGUAUGUAGCCAUUAUCAUUCUUAUAUUAUCAUCAAGAAUUGCAAAUUGUUCCAGAUAUCCAAAAAUCAGAAACAAGCUCAUUGCAAAACUGGAUCAACGAAUAUCUCAAUAUUCUUUUUAUUUUUAACAGCGAUAGAAAAUUUAUUGAAUGACAAAUUAUAUCAUAAAGAGUACACAUAUAAUCAAUUGAGAACUAGAAGAGCAGCUAUUAAUUAAAACCCAACCAAUCCAUAGUAGGCGCAAAACAUUAAAAUAUGAACCAAAUCAAACCUCAACAUCAGUGAGCCUCUGUCUGCCAUGCCAUGGGUUCCAUAGUGAAGCACAUAUUUAUAGGCUCUCUCCCCUGCAACACCCAUAAAGAAA